rnacentral:lncRNA from 1 species
UUCGGUCCAGUUUUGGUGAGUCUCGAUCCUAUGGUGAUGGAUCGGGUGUGAAUAGCUAAUUCCUAUUAUGGGGGAUUAGUGAAGUGUUAUCUAUGAUGAUGGUAGUGAUUUUGGUAUUCUCCGCUUCCAAGAGGGGAAUCGGUCCUAUGGUGGGGAUCAUGGAGUGAGAUGAAUCUAAGUGUUCAUAUUUGGUACCACAUGAAUGUCGAGUCGGUGU